rnacentral:tRNA from 1 species
GCCAACAUAGCUCAGCCGGUAGAGCAGGCGUUUCGUAAACGUCAGGUCAGGAGUUCGAAUCUCCUUGUUGGCUC